AGGUGAUCUUCCAGCUCCGCGCCAAGCAGUGUGUGGCCUGCCGGGAGCGGGCCCACGGUGCUGUCCUGCGGCCCUGCCAGCACCACGUCCUCUGUGAGCCGUGUGCGGCCACCGCACCUGAGUGCCCCUACUGCAAGGGCCAGCCCCUGCAGUGGUGACCUCAGCGGGGACAGCCACCUCCUGCUGGGCACCCUGGCUCCAGCACUCCUCGUGACCACGGACACGUCGUCACUCGCUUCUGGUGCCACCGACCUGAGGACCGAGGCUGGGAGCCCCUGCCCACGCUCGGCCCUACAGCCCUUCCUGUUACACGUUAUCAUGAGGCUGGGAGCCCCGCCUGCGCUUGGCCUGACAGCCUUUCCUGUCACACGUUGUCACCUAUCUAGUCCUACCGAAGGUUUCAAGGAAGUGGGUCCGUGACAUUCUGCAGCUAGUCCACUACUCCAAGGUAACUAUCGACUUGGUUUCAGUGAAUCUAUUUUGUUUUUAAUGAUAGUGAUUUAUUAGCUCAGUAUCUAUAAAUUACGUAUAUUUUGUGCUACUGUCAUCGAUGUGUAAACUCCUCUGUUUUUAUUCGUAUUUAUGCACUUGGUUCCCAUUUGGAGCCUCUGGUCUUUUCGGG
rnacentral:lncRNA from 1 species